rnacentral:rRNA from 1 species
GACGAACGCUGGCGGCGUGCCUAAUACAUGCAAGUCGAACGCAUUUUCUUUCACCGUAGCUUGCUACACCGACAGAAAAUGAGUGGCGAACGGGUGAGUAACACGUGGGUAACCUGCCCAUCAGCGGGGGAUAACACUUGGAAACAGGUGCUAAUACCGCAUAAUUCCAUUUACUGCAUGGUAGAUGGAUGAAAGGCGCUUUUGCGUCACUGAUGGAUGGACCCGCGGUGCAUUAGCUAGUUGGUGGGGUAACGGCCUACCAAGGCUGCGAUGCAUAGCCGACCUGAGAGGGUGAUCGGCCACACUGGGACUGAGACACGGCCCAGACUCCUACGGGAGGCAGCAGUAGGGAAUCUUCGGCAAUGGACGCAAGUCUGACCGAGCAACGCCGCGUGAGUGAAGAAGGUUGUCGGAUCGUAAAACUCUGUUGUUAGAAAAGAACAAGGAUGAGAGUGGAAAGUUCAUCCCUUGACGGUAUCUAACCAGAAAGCCACGGCUAACUACGUG